GACGAACGCUGGCGGCGUGCCUAACACAUGCAAGUCGAGCGGAGAUAAUAGCAAUAUUAUCUUAGCGGCGGACGGGUGAGUAACGCGUGGGCAACCUGCCUAUCACAGGGGGAUAACACAGGGAAACUUGUGCUAAUACCGCAUAACACAUCGAGGUAGCAUUACCUUGCUGUCACAGGAGCAAUCCGGUGAUAGAUGGGCCCGCGUCCAAUUAGCUAGUUGGUGAUGUAACGGACCACCAAGGCGACUAUUGGUAGCCGAACUGAGAGGUUGAUCGGCCACAUUGGGACUGAUACACGGCCCAGACUCCUACGGGAGGCAGCAGUGGGGAAUAUUGCACAAUGGGGGAAACCCUUAUGCAGCAACGCCGCGUGAAGGAUGAAGGUUUUCGGAUUGUAAACUUCUUUAGUCAGGGACGAAUAAAUGACGGUACCUGAAGAAUAAGCCACGGCUAACUACGUGCCAGCAGCCGCAGUAA
rnacentral:rRNA from 1 species